CACGUAGGGGGCAAGCGUUGUCCGGAUUUAUUGGGCGUAAAGAGCUCGUAGGUGGUUCGGUAAGUCAGGUGUGAAACCUCCAGGCUCAACCUGGAGACGCCACUUGAUACUGCUGUGACUGGAGUCCGGUAGGGGAGCGUGGAAUUCCUGGUGUAGCGGUGAAAUGCGCAGAUAUCAGGAGGAACACCAGCGGCGAAGGCAGCUCGCUGGGACGGUACUGACGCUGAGACGCGAAAGCGUGGGGAGCAAACAGG
rnacentral:rRNA from 1 species